GAGCUAUCACACCUGGCUGUAGAUAAAUUUUAAAAUAAUCUUGCCAAACUCCUUUAGCAAAAUUUAUUUGAAAUUCCAUUGUGAUUAUAUUCAGUGUUAAGAGAGAAACAAUAUAUUCCCUAUGUGGUAACAACAAUUUGAAUGACGGUAGCUUUGUCAUCUGAAACCACGGAGGCCAGAGGGAGGUGGCACAUUUUCCAAGUGCUUGAAAGAUUUGUCAACCUCUAAUUCUAUAUCUACCAAAAAUACCUUUCAGGAAUUAAGAAGAAAUAAAAGCAUUUCAGAUGAAGCAAAAUAAUAAUUGGUUGACUGCCCUUCAAGACUGACUCACAGAGCAUCUCUGACUGAAAAGAUACUGAUCUACAGUGAAUACCUCCAAAGUAUAUCUCAGAGUCAACUUUCAGAAAACCCAACAGAUUGCAGCUUGUACCAUUAUUGAGGUGCUCCAAAAUAGCAAAGGAUGGGCCAAAGUUUUGGAACUGGAUUACUCAUUAUCCAGCUGACAUACAAACCCCACCACUGUGGCAGGUGGAGCACAAAGAGGCCCCGGCAUAAGGAGGUGGUUCAAUCAUUAAAUAGUUCACCAAUAGUAAAUUAAGAGGAAGCACCUGUGUUAUGUAACAGAUGUUUGAACUUAGGAGAUAGAUUAUUAUUAAAUAACAGGUUUGGGUGCUGAUAUGUUUUGGCUGUGUCCCCAGCCAAACCUUAUCUUGAGUUGUAGCUCCCAUCAUCCCCCCGUGUCGUGGGAGGGACCUGGGGGAAGGUAAUUGUAUCAUGGAGGUGGGUUUUUCCCAUGCUGUUCUUGUGGUAGUGAAUAAAUCUCAUGAGAUCUGAUGGUUUUAUACGGGCAGUUCCUCUGUACACGCUCUCCUGCCUGUCACCAUGUAAGACGUGUCUUUGCUCCUCCUUCAUUGUGAGGACUUCCCAGCCAUGUGAAACUGUGAGUUCAUUAAACCUCUUUUUCUUUAUAAAUUACCCAGUCUGUGGUAUUUCUUUAUAGCAGUAUGAGAACGGACUAAUACAGUGGCUACUGCUGAAAGCCACUGAUGCUCUACAUAAAGAUAACAAACAGUUG
rnacentral:lncRNA from 10 species